GAUGAAGAACGCAGCGAAAUGCGAUAAGUAAUGUGAAUUGCAGAAUUCAGUGAAUCAUCGAAUCUUUGAACGCACAUUGCGCCCGUCAGUAUUCUGGCGGGCAUGCCUGUUCGAGCGUCAUUACGCCCCUCAAGUCCCCUGUGGACUUGGUGUUGGGGAUCGGCGAGGCUGGUUUUCCAGCACAGCCGUCCCUUAAAUUAAUUGGCGGUCUCUCCGUGGCCCUCCUCUGCGCAGUAGUAAAACACUCGCAACAGGAGCCCGGCGCGGUCCACUGCCGUAAAACCCCCCAACUUUUUAUAGUUGACCUCGAAUCAGGUAGGACUACCCGCUGAACUUAAGCAUAUCAAUAAGCGGAGGA
rnacentral:misc_RNA from 1 species